AAAACAUGUCCUUUUGUUUAUAUUUUUAAGGUCUGACCUGCCCAAUGAAGUAGUUUUAAUGGCCGCGGUAUUUUAACCGUGCUAAGGUAGCAUAAUCACUUGUCUUUUAAUUGAGGGCUUGUAUGAAUGGUUGGACGAGGCAUUAGCUUUCCUUAAUUUAGUUUUAUGAAUUUAAUUUUUUAGUUAAAAGGCUAAAAUGGUUUUAUGGGACGAGAAGACCCUAUAGAUCUUUAUAAGUUAAUAAAUUGUACUAUUUAGAAGUUAUUGGAUAUGAUUAAUUAAUUUAUUUGGUUGGGGCGACUUUAGAAUUAUUACAACUUCUAUAUUAUGUAUACAUAGAUUAGUGUUUUUUUGAUCCAUUAUUAUUGAUUAUAAGAUUAAGUUACCUUAGGGAUAACAGCGUAAUUUCUUCUGAGAGUUCGUAUUGAAGAAGGAGUUUGCGACCUCGAUGUUGGAUUAAAAUAAGUAGCAGGCGCAGUAGCAUGCUUACUAGGUCUGUUCGACCUUUAAUUUUUUACAUGAUCUGA
rnacentral:rRNA from 1 species